GGUCCAGCGGAUGAGCUUGCUAGGUUAUGUCUCCCCCGAUCAACGCCCACGGGCUCGCCUGGGAUCUUUCCGUCCGCCGCCGCCGCCUCACCGGCCACCAACCACCACCACAAAGGCCCUAAAGGAGGAGACCCAAGUAGGCUCGACUAUGGAGCUACCGCCCCGCUCCACUAACCGCACCCGUCUCCGGUUCGUUGAGUCCGUUGAGUCCGCCGCCGGCGCCUAGGACCUACGUUCCGGCGUCUCUACGACCACCGCCCCCUAAGACCCGCCGUCCCUCUCCACUACAUCCACCACCACCACGACCGACCGCACCUGGUUGCGUUGUCUCUGGCGGGUGAGGAGGUUAAAAGGGGUGAGUCGGGUUAGGAAACCCACCCCCAUGUAUACCGCACCUCGUACCUAAACCUCCGCCAGUUGUACCGGUCCCCCUCAUAAAUCAACCGGCACUACCCGUACCUAGACCCGUUGUACCUUUACCUCCAAAACAUAGGCCCGUCGUUCCCGUCAAGAUGGUUGUCGGAGAUUAAGGAGGAAGUCCAUUGAAAGUCUGUGUAGGACGACAACCCAAACCUCGUCAAGUCAAACCGGUCUACCCGUUACUACGAAACCCAUCAAUAGUCAUAAGACCUUGAUCGUUGAGUGGAUUAGUUGUUCCUGCCCCCAUACCAAUAUGACUAAAGUUCAGUUUAGUUAGACCAUGAUCGUGACCCGGACGUUUAUAACCCUCGUCUAGUGUCUACUGUACGAUAUUUACACUCUUAUGACCAGUACGACAAUUCCUAACAGUCUGACACAAUAAAACGCAGUUGGCGUGGUUCCUAAAUGUGGAGAGCGCGUUCACGAGAAAGGACAGUGUUGGAUUCGGACAACGGUCAGACCAACCAUCACAACGACUACCAAACGUCUACAAGAGUUGUUCCUGGCCUUUUUUCGGUCUCGGUCUAUUUUUGUUCGUCCGAUAUCGAUAAUAAUGACACUUUUCACGUUCGGACUGACGCAAUGUUGAACAAUUGAGAGAGUCGUACUACAAGGUCACCCCUACCCUCACCGUCCGAUUCGGAAUAGAGUCUCUAUCGAAAAAUCAGUUUAAGGGAAGGCACUUAUUUUAACUACUUUACUUCCGCAUGUUAAAGAAACCAGACUAACCUUGUUGUUGAUUAUAGUUUCACCUAUCUACCUGGUUGAGAAGUUGACGUCGAAAGUUUGAGAUACAAACGACCCAAUCUUAUUGUCCCCAAGGGCUCUGUGACCUCGUGAUAGUUCCAAAAACACUUCGAUCGAGAGAGUAACCAAGUCAAAACCUUGACCUGUACCUCGAGAUAUCCGUUACACCUCAAGAGUCCCGAUUAUAACCUCAAUACUUAGGAUCCUUUUAUGGGAGAUCACGAGGGGACUUACUUUCACCAAAAUAGAAGUUGUAUAUGAAAGUUGACCUUCUGUAUCACCUCCUCCCACCAGGAUACCUCCUACCAUAGAACCAAUCGAUAGGAUCACCAGGACUAAGUAGAGUAUUACGAUGUCUCUUUUCUGGCUCUCUCGUUUCAUUGUUACUCCUCCACCCUACAUCGUUUAGAGGUUUUGUACCAUAACCCCGACCUUCCAGCCUAUUUCCUUUGUGAAGUCCAAGUAGUCUCCAACACUAAGGCUCAGUUAUGCUUGAACUAUUCUUGUACCAACGACUUUUACUCCACUCCGUUUUUAAUGAACUGUUCUUCGCCCUACGACUUUCUCAAGAGAGACCACACCUUGUCCAAUUACGACUCAAACGAUUAUCGCGACGAUACAACCUCCUAAAGUGUCUUCACGGACUGUCGGUUUUCCUUCAUCUCAAACUAACGUGAGUUCUGGGUCUACUGAAACGAUCCUCCGAACCCUAAUCGUGAGUUUUUCAAUUUCUUUAGUUACUAUUACAACUCUCCCUCUACUAACGCCUCCUUUUACUCUUAGACGAUGAUCGUGUUCUAUUCAUUUUAUCCUCGGGAAGAGAGUAGUCGAGGUGAGUCCGGCACUGGCGAGGGCCCUCUCUUCACUUAGUCUUCGUUUGAGGGAAGAGACUGUUUCAACUACGUACAAAUGUUAUGGGGAAUGUUCUGGACACACCACAGCUACGUCAGUUAUUCGUCUUUUACUCCCUCCGACUUCGGUCUCAAGUCUUUCGUUUUCUGUUCCGCCGCGAACUACUUCGACGAUCCUCUUCCUCACUUUCCGUAUUCUUAUUUCUACUCCCCGUCUGAUACCUGUUCCGAUGACUCUACCGUUUCUUCUUUUUUAACCUUUACCGUGGUCUCUUUUCCACACGUUUUUUACGAAUCCCUCCAAAGGUUCUCCGAUAGAGCCCAUCGUUUACUUCAGAUGUCUUCUUGUAUACCCACCUUAGGAAGACGAGAUUCUGACCCAAAACACAGAUGGACUUUAACCCGCUAAGACAUCAUACAAACCUGAUAACAAAACCGACUACACGUUUAACAUUUUCUACAAAUUUUCAGACAAGAGAGAAGCCAUCACCCACUAAACCGUAGGAUAUCUAUACCAAUAUACAGAUCCUACAUCCAACGAAUAGUCAACUACUCCACUACGUAGUCCAGACUACCUUUUUUCACCACACUACCAACAUAGAUCUGAAAAUAAAAGAAUUACUUUUA
rnacentral:rRNA from 1 species